rnacentral:rRNA from 1 species
AUGGAGGUUGCCAUGUCUGUAGUUGCAAGUGAACUGAUGAGCCGGUUCAUCUCCUUUCUGACGAACAAGUACCAAUCCUCUAGCCAUGCAGAGUCAGAGGAGAAGGUGUUGGAGAGGUUGCAGCAUCUUCUCAUGAGAGCUUGCACCAUCGUCGAGGAGGCGGACACACGAUACAUGACCAACUCCAUGAUGAUGAUGCAGCUCAAAACGCUCUCAGAGGCCAUGUACCGUGGAUACAGUGUGCUGGAUAACUCGAGGUACCGAGCCCUCCAAGAUGGUGGGCGCAUUGACAAGGUUAACAGCAACGAUUCAUCUAGCAGCAGUUUGUAUUUAGCCAAGCGCCCACGAACAUCAACUGAUAAGGCCAUACGCCUUGAGUCACAUGGUGCCUUGGAAAGUUUAGAAAUUGCUAUUGCCAACAUGGUAGAAUUUAUUGUGCUUCUGGGUGGAUGUGAACGCAUGUCUCGUAGGCCAUAUGACGUUUAUCUUUACACUGACAACUUCAUGUUCAGCAGACAUGCUGAAAAGCAAAAGCUCUUAAGCUUCUUGUUGCAGCACAACGACCCUCAUGGGGAUCAUGCACUGGCAGUUCUCCCGGUUAUAGGUGGUCCAACAACUGGGAAGAAAACUUUGGUUGCCCAUGUGUGCGGUGAUGAAAGGGUUCGCUCGCGAUUCUCCUCUGUAUUGCACUUAGAUGGAGACAACCUUUUGAGCAUACUUGACCAUGGAAGGACUAUGGAAGGAAUGAUGUUGGUAGUUAUCGAGUUUGCUUCCGAUGUUGCUGAUGAUGAUUGGCAAAGGUUUCAGUCAUUUUUCGUAAGAAUAGGUAGAGGAAGCAAGAUAAUCAUCUUAAGUAAACUGAAAGGAUUAGCUAGGUUUGGAUCGGUGAAACCAAUUUUCCUUAGUGUUCUAUCAAAGAAUGAGUUGAGGUACCUUUUCAAGGCAUUGGCAUUUGGGAGCAUAGACCCUGCAGAACAUCCACGGUUAGUUCAAAUAGCAGACGAAUUUGUCAAGGUGUUGAACAAUAUGCAAGGUUCACUUAUCGCAGCAAAUUCAUAUGCUGAUGUAUUGAGAAAAAAUCUCAAUGUUCGGUUUUGGCGUUGCACAUUGGACAAGGCGAUAAGAUUUCUUAAAAGAAACCUAUCCAUAGAUGGUGUGCAACCAAGCACGCGUUUAUCACAAGGCCAUCGAGUGGACAUAACGGACUUGACUUUGCAUCCACUUAGCAUGACGCGUUAUACAAUUAAUGUUUCAAUCAAGGCGGAAUCACCAAGUGUCACGUUGGGAGGACUUAUAGCAGAUCCAAGUAUUAGACCACAAGGAGACUUUAUUCUAACUUCAUGGGAAUCAAGAUUACCUCCUCAUAAAUCAUUUGUUUAUUUUGUUACAAGUCAUGCUCAGGACACAUGUGAAGGUAGUGCUUUGCUAGGGCGGAAGCGACCAGGAGUGGCAAUUUAA